GAAGAAGGUGUACAUCGGUGCCUCUCCUCAGCCAAACCCUGUUCCCACAAUACCCCUCCCUCCGCUCCAGAUGGGUUGGACAGCAUCACUCUGACUCACAGAGAUGCUGGAAUAUUCCCAUUACUUGAUUGUUCUCUGUGGUUCUUAGGGUGUUGUGGGGGUUCCACGAGUUUCUGUGGAAUGAAUGAGUAUACUCAUGGUUAUUUACCUCAGGGACAUCCAGGUCUCAUGAACUGCAGCCUGGGCAACACUCUCAGCAGCCUUGGAUGUGGGCUCGGGGAGACAUGGAUGGUCAGGGUGUUCAGCCUUUCACCCUCAGCCCUCCUUGGGUGGCGCUGACUGUUCAGGUUUGGCGGGUCCUCCUCUGACAGCUGUCAACUUGCCCUUUGUCCACCAGUUUCAUCGCAGUGAAUUAUGGGCCUGUCUAUCACAUGCUCGAUUGCUUACUGAGAGGAUACAAAAGAAGAGGGUCAAUAUUUGAAAUGUUUCACUUUCAUCAUACAGAGGACUAGGUACCCUCCUGUGUCACCACCAUGAGGUUGUGAAAUAUCUGAUGAGCCUGACUCCAUGAUGGCCUUCCAUAGCACCUAGAGCUCAAAGCUGUGAAUUAUUACUAGACAAAGAUAGACUGAAGCCUGUGGCUAUGGGACUGACCUAUCACGAGGUUCCAACUUGAAUGCCCUGGAGGUGAUAAAUAGAUACCAUCCUGAACUAGACAGACUUCAUGGUUCCUGGGACAAGGGACCAGUGACCCGUCGCUGUGGGUCUGGACUUAUGUGAAUGUACAGUUGUCAGUCUGUGCUUAGAACUGACCAGAUGAGUUGCUGCCAUUAGGAAAUAAAACAAAAACUAUGUCACUCAACUAACCUUGAAUAAAA